UACGUAGGGUGCGAGCGUUGCCCGGAUUUAUUGGGCGUAAAGCGCGCGCAGGCGGUCCUUUAAGUCUGAUGUGAAAGCCCACGGCUCAACCGUGGAGGGUCAUUGGAAACUGGGGGACUUGAGUACAGAAGAGGAAAGCGGAAUUCCACGUGUAGCGGUGAAAUGCGUAGAGAUGUGGAGGAACACCAGUGGCGAAGGCGGCUUUCUGGUCUGUAACUGACGCUGAGGCGCGAAAGCGUGGGGAGCAAACAGG
rnacentral:rRNA from 1 species